rnacentral:pre_miRNA from 1 species
AGUGGGAUAGCUGGGUCAAAUGGUGGUUCCAUUUCAAGUUUUCAAAGGAGUCUCCAUACUGCUUUCCAGAGUGGUUGCACCAAUUUGCAGUCCCACCAACAAU